rnacentral:rRNA from 1 species
CCCUUAGAUGUUCUGGGCCGCACGCGCGCUACACUGAUGCAUUCAACGAGUCUAAAACCUGCUCUGAUAGGGGUGGGUAAUCUUUUGAAUGUGCAUCGUGAUUGGGAUAGAUGAUUGCAAUUUUUCAUCUUCAACGAGGAAUGCCUAGUAAACGCAAGUCAUCAGCUUGCAUUGAUUACGUCCCUGCCCUUUGUACACACCGCCCGCCGCUCCUACCGAUUGAAUGAUCCGAUGAAUAUCAUGGAUUGAGGAUGUAAGCAGGUUCGCCUGUCUUCAUCUUCGAGAAGUGAAGUAAAUCUUAUCAUUUAGAGGAAGGAGAAGUCGUAACA